rnacentral:rRNA from 1 species
AAAACGACUCUCGGCAACGGAUAUCUCGGCUCUCGCAUCGAUGAAGAACGUAGCGAAAUGCGAUACUUGGUGUGAAUUGCAGAAUCCCGUGAACCAUCGAGUCUUUGAACGCAAGUUGCGCCCCAAGCCWUUAGGCCGAGGGCACGUCUGCCUGGGUGUCACGC